AUAGAAUGGGAACCUUUAAGGUUGCUACAGAUCCUUUCUCUUUUCAGCUCCUUCCAACUCCACAGUCUUCAUGUCCCUCACAAAAAAAGAGAAAAACCCGGCAUUCUUUUCUUAAUUUAGAGUAGUUUAAGCAUAAUUUUUGGUUGCUUUGUUGCAUAGUUUUACCUUCUACUCCAUGCCUAUCAAGGUAUUUCCCCAAUAUAUUUCUUUCCUCAAGAGAAAUCCUAGGGUCAGCUGUCAAGACCCAAGAUAGCUGUAAAUGAUCCAGAUUUCACACUGUUCUCAGGUUCAUGGUUUCUUAUGGUCAGUGCAGAGAUCCUACAUGGAACCUAAAGCCCCUGUCCUUAAGCUCUUCUAGUUUAAUCCUGUAAAUGUUACUCCUUAAGUCUCACACCCCCUCCAUCAUUACCUUUUCUCAAUUUCCCAAAGAACAAAAAAUGUCAGUGAAUGAAUGGGCUGCGCAGAUUCCCUCUUCUCUAGUGGUUUAUUGACGUCUCAGGUGCACGUGCAACUUGAACCUGCAUUCUUAAGGUCCCUCCUUCCAGUUCCCCACACUGCAAAGGUCUUUAGGACAUUUUCUUACACAUUCACACUAUGCUUUUUAUUAAAACACAGCUGCUGAAACAAAGGCAAGAACUUUCAGCUUUCAAUCUAGUCUUUGCUUUUCAACUGGUAAAUGAUUUCAUCUGUUUGUGCCUCAAGAUUGCAGAGCUGUGAAACAAAGGGGAUGACUUCUUUUUCACAUGAAUGAUAUGGCCUAACAAAAUUAAUGUUGUAUAUAGUUGUAAAUGCAAAAUAAAUGCAAACCUAGAGCCUUUGAGAGAAUCCCGAGAACUGGAAAACUUUUCAGGUAGAAUCAAACAAUUCCAAUUUUCUGGUUGUAUUGCCAAAUUUUCAAACUUUAUUGUUUACACCAUUUAAAAAUAUACUGACAUUUUAAGUGA